rnacentral:misc_RNA from 1 species
ACCAUGUAAAGCAUUUCUUCAGAUGAUGAAUGAAGUCAGUGAUAUAGCUGGUCAGCAUGAAUUAAUAGCAGAAAACAUGACAUUACAAAUAGUAAAAGAAAUAAAUAAUUUAGUAAAAGAGCUCAAAGAUGAAAGAAAGAGGCACUUACAUGAAGGUGCAAAGCUUCAAGCACAGCUUCAAGCAUCUUUGUCACAAUUAGAUAAGGCAAAAAAAGCAUACGAAAAAGCUUUUAAAGAAGCAGAGAAAGCGCAAGAAAAUUUUGUAAAAGCUGAUGCAGACCUGAACUUGUCCAGAGCAGAAGUAGAAAAGGCAAGGACACUUUCUGUGAUGAAAAAUCAAGCCUGUGAAGACUGUAAAACGGAGUAUGCCAAUCAACUUCAAAAAACCAACGAGUUACAGAGGCAGCAUUAUAUUACUACAUUGCCAAACGUAUUUCAGCAACUACAAGAAAUGGAUGAAAGACGAAUAACUUGCAUCCAGAAUUUUAUUAAGUUAUCCGCUGAUAUUCAGCGACACGUAUUUCCUAUAGUAAGCAAAUGUCUUGAUGGAAUAGUGAAAGCUUCAGAAACUGUGGAUCCAAGACAGGAUUCUAGGCUAGUCAUUGAGAAGUUUAAGUCUGGUUUCUCACCACCGGUAGACUAUCCAUUUGAAGACCUUAGUAAUCUUAAAAAUAGUGAAGGGAACACGGGGCUGCAUUCGGUACCUUCUUUUAAAACAGAAACUAUUAAAGGCACCAUUACAGCUGGAAAACUCAAGAAGCGUAGUGGAAUAUUUGGGAUAUUUAGUUCAAAUAAGCAUCAUAUUGAUGAAACAAAAGAUUACUGUGAUCUACCCCCAAAUCAAAGGAAAAAGAAACUUACACAGAAGAUAGAACAUAUACAGAACCAGAUACAGCAAGAAACAGCAGCAAGGGAUGGCUUGACGAAGAUGAAAUUGGUGUAUGAACAGAGUCCUGCAAUGGGUGAUCCACUAAGCAUUGAGGGCCAAUUAACAGAAAACGGACAUAAACUUGAAAAGCUCCAAACUGAGCUUCAGAAGUUCCAGAGUUACUUAUCGGAUGCAGAGGGUAUAACAUUAACACCAAAAAGAAAUAAAAAGGAUAGGAACAGUAUUUCUGAGGAUUCUUUAUCGAGGAGUGCUUCCGAUUCCAGUGUCAACAACCCUAACAACAAUAAAACCAUGGUAUCAAAUACUCCACCACAAGCUAAUGGUUCCUCCUAUAGUCCCGAGAGUGGUAUCAGUAGGAGUCGUACCAGUAUUCCAGAAGUUGACGUGUAUGAUGACGAGGAGAAAUUUGAUAACAUUGACGAAGAAGAUAAUGCUGAUUUUGAUCUGGAUCCUCUUCCUGUGCUGGGUACGGCAAGGGCUCUCUACCCCUUUGAUGCUCAAAGUGAAGGAUCUAUCCCUAUGGAAGAAGGAGAAGAAUUUGAUGUUGUUGAGUUAGAUCAAGGAGAUGGUUGGACUAGAGUACGUCGCGGUGACAUCGAAGAGGGUUUUGUGCCAACCUCCUACGUUCAAUGUUUUCUCUAUAACAAUUGUUAAUCUCUGGGUUCUGUUUUUUUCAGACAUUGUAAUAUCAGUUGCAUAUUCUGGAGGCUCAGAAUUUCUGGUAGUCAAGUAUACUUUAUCAACAUAAACGUCUUUGCCUAUCAAUAAGGAAGAAAAUCAUUGAUGUUGCUUUUCGCUGCACCUGCAAGGUUUCGAAAUAUUCGACUUGCAACCUGUGCAGCCUCAGUAUAGGUGAUCAUCGUGGACUUUUUGACAGCCCUUGUUGAGAUCUAUCUAUCAAGCCCAAAGAUGAUGUGGCAGCGCUCAAAAAUAGGCUUGGUGCUGGCAAGGACAGUAGUAAUAGUAGUAGUAGUAGUAGUAGCAGCAUUCCGCCAGAUCAGAAGAUCAAGUUCAAGGUCUCCAACCUCAAAUGGACGAUGAAGAAAGGUCACAUAAUUUGAUUUGAGAAUUAAAAAAAAGAAAGAAAGAAUCAAUACGUGUAAGGUGGCAUGGCCACUCAGAAAACCUGUGUCACUUUGACUGCUCAUAACUCUCAAUGGCAAUACGUUACCAUUAUAUAGACUGUAUGUUUGGAUACAUCAGAUUCCGAAGUUUACAAUGGUGUAUGCAACAUUUCAAAAAAAUAAUAA